rnacentral:rRNA from 1 species
GAUGAACGCUGGCGGCGUGCCUAAUACAUGCAAGUCGAGCGAACAGACGAGGAGCUUGCUCCUCUCACGUUAGCGGCGGACGGGUGAGUAACACGUGGAUAACCUACCUAUAAGACUGGGAUAACUUCGGGAAACCGGAGCUAAUACCGGAUAAUAUAUUGAACCGCAUGGUUCAAUAGUGAAAGACGGUUUUGCUGUCACUUAUAGAUGGAUCCGCGCCGCAUUAGCUAGUUGGUAAGGUAACGGCUUACCAAGGCAACGAUGCGUAGCCGACCUGAGAGGGUGAUCGGCCACACUGGAACUGAGACACGGUCCAGACUCCUACGGGAGGCAGCAGUAGGGAAUCUUCCGCAAUGGGCGAAAGCUUGACGGAGCAACGCCGCGUGAGUGAUGAAGGUCUUCGGAUCGUAAAACUCUGUUAUUAGGGAAGAACAAAUGUGUAAGUAACUAUGCACGUCUUGACGGUACCUAAUCAGAAAGCCACGGCUAACUACGUG